UGCAGUCGACGGCAGCGCGAGAGAGCUUGCUCUCUUGGCGGCGAGUGGCGGACGGGUGAGUAAUAUAUCGGAACGUGCCCAGUAGCGGGGGAUAACUACUCSAAAGAGUGGCUAAUACCGCAUACSCCCUACGGGGGAAAGGGGGGGAUCSCAAGACCUCUCACUAUUGGAGCGGCCGAUAUCGGAUUAGCUAGUUGGUGGGGUAAAGGCUCACCAAGGCAACGAUCCGUAGCUGGUUUGAGAGGACGACCAGCCACACUGGGACUG
rnacentral:rRNA from 1 species